CAGGAAAACACUUCAGUCAGGCUGCAGGAGGGCGUGUAUGACGCGUGGAGUGACGUCAUCAUACUUUCCUGUGGCCAUUCAGCAGCAGCGCCGCGCACUAAACCGCAGUUUUCCUCAUAAUAUCGCGUUUAAUUUAUAUUUUCCCCGCGUUGCCUUUUCUUUCUUGUUUAUAACGCACACAGCCUGCAAGGUGUCCUGUCCAUCGGUAGAGGUUCGACACAGGUGAGUUGUUUUUCUCUGAGCUUCGUCAGGAGGACACAAACUUUGUUGUUCCGCUGUUUAGCUAUGUGCUAACUGGAAACAUGACUUGUUUGCUGAGACUUGUUGCUCGUGCACGAGCGGUUAGCUCGCUAGCUACAAGUAUUUACGUAGACAGUUACAAAGAGACGCGUGUGCUUGUGUUGAACUUCGUACUGUACGGUGAUCUGUAACGGUCAGUUAGCUACUGGGACGUUUAAUCGAGGCAACAAGUUAGCGAUAAUGAAACCACACCGAGUUUUAGUAGUAAGCUUUUUUGAUUCAGACCGCUCGAGAUGUUUAUCAGCGGUUCAUCAUCCAUUUCGUGCUCGUUGUAGCCGCAGACAGCAACAGCCAACUAACGGAAACAUUUUCAUACUGAAGGUAGCUCGAGUUCAUUCAAUAACUUCGCUUUUGUGCAUCAGUGCUGUCCCAGAGAUUAGAAAGAUGCUGUUUGGGGGCAAAACUAUAAAAAGAGUUGAUUCCCAAUUCAAGUCAUUCGUAAAUAAUUGUCAUUCCUCUGUAUAGCCUGUAUACACUGGAGCACUUCUCCAGGACCAGAUGCAACACAGAACUGUACACAAGACUACAUAAAGUGCUAUACACAGCAGUGUGAGAUGAGUGCAGGACAGUAAAUACACUGGACGUGGACAUUCUCUGAACGGGGACAGUAAAUUCAGUGGACGUGGACAGUAAAUACAGUGGACGUGGACAGUCACUUGACGGGGACAGUAAAUACACUGGACGGGGACAGUCCCUGGACGUGGACAGUAAAUACACUGGAUGUGGACAGUCUCUGGACGUGGACAGUCUCUGGAGGUGGACUGUCACUGGACGUGGACAGUAAAUACACUGGACAUGGACAGUCUCAGGACGUGGACAGUCUCUGGAGGUGGACAGUAAAUACACUGGCUGUGGACUGUCACUGGACGUGGACAGUAAAUACACUGGCUGUGGACUGUCACUGGACGUGGACAGUAAAUACACUGGCUGUGGACUGUCACUGGACGUGGACAGUAAAUACACUGGCUGUGGACUGUCACUGGACGUGGACAGUAAAUACACUGGCUGUGGACUGUCACCGGACGUGGACAGUAAAUACACUGGAUGUGGACUGUCACUGGACGUGGACAGUAAAUACACUGGAUGUGGACUGUAAACUGUGUAUUAUUUGUAUUGUUGCAGCAAAAACAAGUUCCAUGAUAAGUUAUUGCAGCUUUGUAAAGUGCAGGUGUGUGAUGUUUUUGUGUUAUACUGGGUUAAGUGUUUGAUUAGUCGGAAGCAACAGGGUGUUGAGUAAAGACUUCCAAAAAAUUAUCCAAAUCCGCGGUGAGAGUCAUGAGUUAUGGCCAAGUCCCUGAGCACCAGAUACACGUGUGCAUUAAUUGCGUUAAUCUUACUUGACCAGUUUCUUGUGGGUUUUAAAAAAAAUCAGACAUCUUUGAAUUUUAGUGUGCAUUUUAUUCAUUUGGCAGAAGUGACUUUAAAGUGCACCUGUACACCUCUAAAGUGCAAUUAUUUUUUCAGAUAUUACCUUUCAUGUAGUGUUUUAGAGCUGUUUGUGAUUGUAAAAAGUCUGCAAAAUUUUUAAAUCAAAGUGCACGACAGAGUUCUUGAUUCCCAAAAGAAGGAAGCGAUUGUGAACAGCUGAAACGAGUCGUUAGUGAUUCCAGACUUACUUCCUGUACUAACAUACGUAGGUUUGUGACAAAAAACCCCACCUUUGGUCUUCAUCACCUGCUCGCUGACAGACGGAGCUGAAAGUUGUUAUGGUAGUGGGCGUUUCCUUUUUGAAUCAUACUGACAGCGGUAGACCAAUCACAACAGACUGGGACAUCUGGUCAAUCAGAGCAUAGUAUGCUCUCUGAAAGGAGGAGUUUAGAACGAAUCCUUUAGAAGGGAUCAGUCGUUUGUGACUUUGGUCAGGAAAAGAUAAUGCUGCAGUUUAAAUUAUGAGCAUGUUAGUGUUUUUUGACCUUGGAUGCAUGUAAAUCUUUUGUAUGAGUCCUUUAAAACAAAAUUAGGCACAUUUCAAAACCAUAAUAGGCGCACUUUAAUGCUGUCCAGGAGUUGUAUAAAGUACCCAAUAUUUGACUAAAACUAAAUAUACCUAUUUGGAAAAUGACUCGAGUAACCUAUAAAGAAAUGACUUAGAAAGACAUUUUGGUGUAUCUGCUAUUGUACAGGUGUCCCAAAAGUCUCCAUACAUAGGUUAAUUAAGCUUUUAUAUAUAUAUAUAUAUAUAUA
ensembl:lncRNA